GAUUCAGAAGUCGAUAAGACCAGGAGAAGUGAAGAUGUAACAUGUUAUCUGUCGCUCCUCUUAGCUGGCGGAGAGAAUUUACAUUUAAAGAUUAGCAGAGUGAGAAAGAGAAAUCUGCCUUUUGUUGUGUGGGGUGAGGAGGAGGCAUCUACCCCUGGCCUUGACGCUAUCUCCCAUCACCUCUGCUAUCCAGACAGGACUCACCGAGAUAAACCCCACUUGAAAAACUGAGGUGCUUAAGGAGUAAAAUAAUAUGUUCCUGGUGGCAUCCUCCAGAUCGUACUGAGAAGCACUCCACAAUGCCAGACUCACCUGUGGAUGUGAAGACGCAAUCUAGGCUGACUCCUCCAACAAUGCCACCUCCCCCAACUACUCAAGGAGCUCCAAGAACCAGUUCAUUUACACCGACAACGUUAACUAAUGGCACGAGCCAUUCUCCUACAGCCUUGAAUGGCGCCCCCUCACCACCCAAUGGCUUCAGCAAUGGGCCUUCCUCUUCUUCCUCCUCCUCUCUGGCUAAUCAACAGCUGCCCCCAGCCUGUGGUGCCAGGCAACUCAGCAAGCUGAAAAGGUU
rnacentral:lncRNA from 1 species